GCAAAGUCGGGGGCGGGAGCCGGGGGAAUGCGGAGGGGGCGAGCGUUAAUCGGAUUGACUGGGCGUAAAGCGCGCGUAGGUGGCUAAUUAAGUCAAAUGUGAAAUCCCCGAGCUUAACUUGGGAAUUGCAUUCGAUACUGGUUGGCUAGAGUAUGGGAGAGGAUGGUAGAAUUCCAGGUGGAGCGGUGAAAUGCGUAGAGAUCUGGAGGAAUACCGAUGGCGAAGGCAGCCAUCUGGCCUAAUACUGACACUGAGGUGCGAAAGCAUGGGGAGCAAACAGGAUUAGAUACCCCUGUAGUC
rnacentral:rRNA from 1 species